GCUUGCCUGGUGCAGUGGUUAAUGUGUACAAAAUAUUUAUGAACCUUGUUUAAUUAGGUCUUGGGUUCGAAUCCCGAGCCGGCCG